rnacentral:lncRNA from 1 species
CCUACUUGUACUCAUCACCUCCUCCUCCCAAGAAGCCCUAUUAUUAUCACUCUCCUCCACCACCUUCACCUCCUCCACCUAAGCCAUACUACUAUCAUUCACCACCACCACCUUCACCUCCUCCACCCAAGCCAUACUACUAUCACUCACCACCACCACCUUCACCUCCUCCACCUAAACCAUACUACUAUCACUCACCACCACCACCUUCACCUCCUCCACCUAAACCAUACUACUAUCACUCACCACCACCACCUUCACCUCCUCCACCUAAACCAUACUACUAUCACUCACCACCACCACCUUCACCUCCUCCACCUAAGUCAUAUUACUAUCACUCACCACCACCACCACCCAAAAAGAAGCCAUACUACUACCAUUCUCCCCCACCACCUUCACCACCUCCUCCUAAGCCAUACUACUAUCACUCUCCCCCACCGCCUUCACCUCCUCCACCUACGCCAUACUACUAUCAUUCUCCCCCACCACCCUCACCACCUCCACCUAAGCCAUACUACUACCAUUCACCACCACCCCCACCGAAGAAGAAGCCUUACUACUACCACUCUCCACCACCACCUUCAC